rnacentral:rRNA from 1 species
GACGAACGCUGGCGGCGUGCUUAACACAUGCAAGUCGAACGGAAAGGCCCUGCUUUUGUGGGGUGCUCGAGUGGCGAACGGGUGAGUAACACGUGAGUAACCUGCCCUUGACUUUGGGAUAACUUCAGGAAACUGGGGCUAAUACCGGAUAGGAGCUCCUGCUGCAUGGUGGGGGUUGGAAAGUUUCGGCGGUUGGGGAUGGACUCGCGGCUUAUCAGCUUGUUGGUGGGGUAGUGGCUUACCAAGGCUUUGACGGGUAGCCGGCCUGAGAGGGUGACCGGCCACAUUGGGACUGAGAUACGGCCCAGACUCCUCCGGGAGGCAGCAGUGGGGAAUAUUGCACAAUGGGCGGAAGCCUGAUGCAGCAACGCCGCUUGCGGGAUGACGGCCUUCGGGUUGUAAACCGCUUUCGCCUGUGACGAAGCGUGAGUGACGGUAAUGGGUAAAGAAGCACCGGCUAACUACGUG